rnacentral:snRNA from 1 species
GUGCUCUCUUCAGCAGAACAUAUGCUAAAACUGGAGAGAUACAGAGAAGAUUAGUAUGGCCCCUGUGCAAGGAUGACAUGUAAAUCUGUGAAGCAUUCCAUGUUUUU